GCGAUCAGAGCAGUGGGGAGCAGUGUGUUCUCAGCAGUCUUUACAGAAGGCUGGGUGUAAGGGUGUAAUCUGUGAGGGCGUGGGGUGUGUGCUGGUGCUGUUGUUGGUGCUACUGCUACUGCUACUGGAGCUACUGCUGCUGCUGCUGCCUGAUCCCUCCGAGCGGCAGCGUCAUCGGCAGCCAGUCCAGCCAUUUCUGCACGGCACCUGCUGAGGACUUGCCAGACGCCCCUGGAAGCCCGUCCGUAGAAGGUGCGGGAGGGUGAAACUUCAUUGCAUGAGAAUGUAAGUGAGGCGAGGAAAGGUGAGUGCAGUCAGGAUCGUCCCCGGCCCCCAGCGGCGCACCAACCUCCUGCUGGCGGCGGGAAAUGAAGCCCAGAUUAAGACACGGCCGUCCCUCGCAGGGCGGCCCACUCCCUCACACGCCUCCCGCUCUCUAUGCAAAUUCAGAUUUUCUCGGGACGGAGUACUUCCAAGAGAAGAGAGCACAAGUACGCCUCAAGAACUCGCGUGGCACUUCACAUUCGUAUUCGAAGAAAAGAAACAAUAAGUGGCCUGAACAGUGAGGAGACCCUGUGACUCAGGCGUGUGUCAACUUCCCAGCACAGUAUCCGAGGUCAGAUACUCAGCAAUGGACGGUCAGCCAGAGGUCGAGUGUAACCUUACUCACUCAUUCCCGUUGUGUUUUGCUUCUUCACUGAUUCAUUACUCUUCUGCUGCUGCCAGUCUCCUUUCAAAACCUGAUAAUAUAGUUUCGGGGUACACCAGAGAACUUCUUACUGAUGGAAAAUGCAAAAUAUAGUUGAAAUGAACAUAAUAGACUAUUAUGUUUUUAAACGUUUCUUCAUCGCUCAAAUGGCAAGUGUAUCGACAACGCUGGGCUAUCACUGCAGUAGCUUCUCCACCUGCCAGGAUAUGUCCUCACUAGUGGCAGUUCAGUUUGUCAUCCUCCCGUGUCCAUAAUCUUCUGGCAGUUUCCUGUCGGCUCGUUGUCAGGGUGAAAGCUCCUGUUCACCUUCAGCCAGAAAUAGCAUCACCUGCGAACAGUCAGGUGUGCCUCGCACAUCCAAGCUCAAGAAUGUUCCAAGUAUUUCUCCUUUGACGGUUUAAAUCACCCAGUUGAUGACACAGAUCACCUCCAAGUUAUACAAAUGCCUGGUGGAUGAGAUCAGAUUUCAUCAUUCCUCAGCCCUUCAUCAAGUCUGCUUUCACAUUGUCGUCUUAACUCGCACUAAGUAAGUAUUCUUGUUCAUCAAUACUUAUUAUAUUUCUACACUGCAUUCCAUUUAUAUAUUAUAGUUUUAAUUGUUACAUUACUUGCAGCGCCUUAAAUUAUCAGAGAUGACUGAAAGCAAAGAUUUAGAUAAAGGAAUUAUGUAUUUAUAAGACAAAAGAAUACAGGAAUGUAAGUAAAAAACUUCCAGAGAUCAUGGCAUGGAGGCAAGGAAAUUAUAUAUGAAAUUAUAGUGCAUUAAGUGAUUGAGUGCAAUAGGAAAUCAAGACCGCAUCUUAAGUGUGAGA